AGCCAGGACACCAAAGCAAGACCACCGAAGCAGUAAGAGCACAGAACUUUCACCACUAGGCCAUCUGGGUGGCUC